rnacentral:rRNA from 1 species
UACGAAGGGGGCUAGCGUUGCUCGGAAUCACUGGGCGUAAAGCGCACGUAGGCGGAUCUUUAAGUCAGGGGUGAAAUCCUGGAGCUCAACGUCCAGAACUGCCUUUGAUACUGAGGAUCUUGAGUACGGGAGAGGUGAGUGGAACUGCGAGUGUAGAGGUGAAAUUCGUAGAUAUUCGCAAGAACACCAGUGGCGAAGGCGGCUCACUGGCCCGGUACUGACGCUGAGGUGCGAAAGCGUGGGGAGCAAACAGG